UUUUCAUUGAGCUGUCCUCAUCCUAUGGAUUGGGAGCUGUGGCCUGUGUGGCCCCUUGAACUGCUGCUGGGGUGGGAGCUGCUCUGAAGAACCUUUUUGUGGGACUACUGCUCUCUGCACAGCUCUGACUCAACAACAACCUUUCCUGGUGACCUGAGGCACCAACAGGAGAUACUUGCCCUGUGCAUGGUAUGCAGGCAUGCCAGCUAGCUGCUUUACUAAAACCUGACUUUUCAUGCUUUUGAUGA